UAGUUUUAGAAGAUUUAAAUAAGUGUCUGUAGAUGCAAAGUAGUGUGUUUUUUCUUUUUUUUUGUUUGGUGGAGAUCUACUCCUAUCCUAAGUAGAUUGCUUUUUUUGAGUGUGUUUGCAUGUAUCACUAGUAGUCUUCAAUGCUUCCGUUGUUAACUUUGUAAUGUUGUGUUUAGUUGUGUGGCUGGUCUAUGUGUGUGUAAGCUUCCUAUUUGAUGUAUUCCCAUGUAACGGCUAUUAAUGAAUAAAAAGUGCUGGUCUGCUUUGUUAAAUAUUCCUUAUGUAUACGUAAUUAAUAAUCCCAGAGGUAAUCCGGAUCUUGAGUGAACCUCAAN
rnacentral:lncRNA from 1 species